AUAAGCUCGCCUCCUGCUCUCUUCUUCUCAUCUUCAUCAUUUACCUUUAAUUACUUUGCCUUUUUAUUUUCCUUUCUUCGUCUCUUUAUUUCUUUUCUCCUAAUCUUUGAUCAGCACAUACUCAAAGUCCAACUUUUUAACAAUUUCUCGCUUAUUCCCACUUCCACUCGUGCCUUACAGCUUCAAGCUAUAAUAGAGACCAGACGCUGAGGCGACGAGGAGAAGGAGAAGGAGAAUAAGACGUCACAACUCGCUGGAGAAGGAGGCCCCAACACGCGACUCAAUUUCGGUUCCUACUGUUGCAGUGUUGCUGAUGAACUGAUAACACGAGGAUGACGAUGUUGUUGUUUUUGUUGUUUCAAUGACGACAGGCACUCAGCAACGAUGAGCCAAUUAAAUUGAUUUGAUUUUUUUAUAUAAAUGUUAGUGAGAGAGAUAUUUUUGUAUUGUUCAUAAGAGCUGUAAUGAAAGCUUAGACUAUACGAUAAUAGGUGAUUUGUGCCAACUUUAAAAGUUGAAGUUCCAAUUGGAAAUAAAUAAAAGAAAACAUCAAGUGCCAAUGUGCUAUUCGAGGCACACUUAAGGGUCCAA